rnacentral:lncRNA from 1 species
UUUAUAAAUACGUAUUCAUAAAAGGCUGUGCCUUGAACGCUGUUGCUGAUUUUCAGAGGAUGGGCGCUGUCCUCCUUCAGACUGAGGUGUUCAGAGGGAGAGUGAAUCGGAGUGAGGCUCCCCGGCCCGUGAGCAAAGUGAGCCUUUAGGAAGAUACAGUUCACAACCUCGAGGGAUGUCCGCACCAAGAAGUCUAAAGCCGUGGACUGUCUCGUGACAAACACUCUAGUCUCAAGCUUACAAGAAAACAGUCCCUGGAACUGUGGACGCUCCGCCAUCAAUGCGGCCAGAAAGCCCUUUACACUUCUCAUUGGAAGACUCAGCCGGAGCUUGCCUUUCCGCUGGUGGGACGUGGAACAUGUGCUCAUUUUACAGGCUGUGAUGUUUGGAGCUAGUGCAGCCAUUUUAUCCCAGUGAAGAGCAACGUUGCUGACACACUGAGGAUGGAAGAGCAGAGAGCUGGAUGAGCCCUGAUGAGUGUGGGAGGUGCCAAUCCAACCUUGGGAUUGCUUACUUCCAGACCUUCCAUUAAGGGAACAGUCAACAUGCUCCUCCUAUUUUCUGACAGAUACAAAGUUAUUUCCACAAUUCCUGAUUUGAAGUCUUUUCCUCCCGGGAGUGGUUUGUUUUGGUGCCCCUGGUCAUCGGGCUGCCGGCGGUGGACCAGGAACGCCCGCCCGUGAACACAGGUCAUGUCACAGCUGGGUGAGGCCCUCGGAGACCACAGAGUUCAUCUGCCGUCACAUCACCAUGAUUUCCAGAUGUGAGACUCUUUCUCUUCCCCUUGGAUCUGGGCUGUCCUGUGACUACUUUGACCAAUGGAGCGUGGCAGACGUGAAGCUAUGCCAGUUCCAGGAACAGCCUUUAAGACCAGUACUAUUAUCUUGCUCUCCUGGAUACCUGAGCUGCCUUGUAAGAAGUCUGACUAUCUCAAGGCCACCAUGAUACAAGAAGCCCAAGCAAUGUGAAGAAGGCUUGGAAGAGCUCACCUGGGUAGUUAGUCUCUGAGCUACACAGGGUCCACCAGGUGCCUGGGGCUGGGCGUUUCCUUACAGAUGACUUCUUUACUCACAUGUCUCUGUGCUCACUGGCCUUCCUUGGCCUUUUCCCUCUCUUCCAAAAUCCCUGACCCACGAUAUCAUGAACA